rnacentral:rRNA from 1 species
UACGAAGGGGGCUAGCGUUGCUCGGAAUCACUGGGCGUAAAGCGCACGUAGGCGGAUUGUUAAGUCAGGGGUGAAAUCCUGGAGCUCAACUCCAGAACUGCCUUUGAUACUGGCGAUCUCGAGUCCGGGAGAGGUCAGUGGAACUGCGAGUGUAGAGGUGAAAUUCGUAGAUAUUCGCAAGAACACCAGUGGCGAAGGCGGCUCACUGGCCCGGUACUGACGCUGAGGUGCGAAAGCGUGGGGAGCAAACAGG